AUCUUGAAAAUGCCUCGUGUGGCUUCCACAAAAAUAUGAAGCUGUUUUCACUAUUGAUAAUAGGUGAACUAUCCCAUUAAGUAUUUUUCUAUUGUUUUACAGUUUUCCCCUGCAGACAUGUCAGAGUUUAAAGUGGGUGCAGAUAUAGAGGCAGCUUCCUCAGAUCCAGGUCAACAGCAGAGCACCAUUCCCUGUGUGAGUGAAGAGGAACUGGCCAAGUUUGUGUCUCUGACGCCUCUGUCCAAAACACUGCAGGAGAUAAAGGAAUCACUCCAGAUUCUCGCCCACACGCCCAAGACAGAGGACGUUAUUAUCAUCCCAGCAGAGAGUGAACUGUCGCACCUGUUCCCUGUUGCCCUUGACAACCUUUCCCCACAGCAUUUUGCUGUCUUCCUGUUUGGCUACCAUGUUGUGCAUUUUCUGAGCAGAGCUUGUUCCUUCCCCCCGUCAUGCUGCAAUUGGCCAGGACGGUGCCAGCCUCUCACUGUGAUAACCUGCUGGCCUGCUGCCAUAAAGACUUUUAUUACUACACAGAAGCUUCAAAACGCUGGCCAGUUCUUCUCCGUUCUCUUACACUCAAUGACCUAUAUAACCUCAGAUGAUUGA
rnacentral:lncRNA from 1 species